CCUACGGGGUGCAGCAGUGAGGAAUAUUGGUCAAUGGACGAGAGUCUGAACCAGCCAAGUAGCGUGCAGGAUGACUGCCCUAUGGGUUGUAAACUUCUUUUAUAUGGGAAUAAAAUGUUCCACGUGUGGGAUUUUGUAUGUACCAUAUGAAUAAGGAUCGGCUAACUCCGUGCCAGCAGCCGCGGUAAUACGGAGGAUCCGAGCGUUAUCCGGAUUUAUUGGGUUUAAAGGGAGCGUAGGUUGAUUUAUAAGUCAGUUGUGAAAGUUUGCGGCUCAACAGUAAAAUUGCAGUUGAAACUGGCGGUCUAGAGUACAGUAGCGGUGGGCGGAAUUCGUGGUGUAGCGGUGAAAUGCUUAGAUAUCACGAAGAACACCGAUUGCGAAGGCAGUUCACUGGACUGCAACUGACACUGAGGCUCGAAAGUGUGGGUAUCAAACAGGAUUAGAUACCCCAGUAGUC
rnacentral:rRNA from 1 species